rnacentral:rRNA from 1 species
UUGUACUGCUUCUAACCGUCUGUUAAGUCAGACAAAUAAUGACAUUUGACCUCAAAUCAGGUAGGACUACCCGCUGAACUUAAGCAUAUCAAUAAGCGGAGG